GUUUCCAUCAGAGUGGUGGUGGUAUACCUCACACACUAGUAUUGAACAGUCAAGAGUUUUGAUUGACUGUAUUUUUUUCUCUGCUACACUGUUGGUGAGCCUUUAUUUGUUACAGAAAAAAUGCAAUGCAUAACCUUGACUGAAUACACUUGUAAGUGUAUAAAAGGGGGACAUUUAAUGUUAUAGCCAACAACAAUAGUUACCAUCAGAGUGGUGGUACCUCACACACUGUAGUAUUGAACAGUUAAGAGUUUUGAUUAAUUGUAGGCUAUUGUUUCUCUGCCAUGCUGUUGUUUGUUAUAAACAAAAACAAUUAAACACGUUGUCUCUGAAAAAGAGUGAAUUAUAAUACAUGA